GAUGAACGCUAGCGGCAGGCCUAAUACAUGCAAGUCAAGGGGUUCAGCAAUGGACACCGGCGGACGGGUGCGUAACACGUACACAACGUACCCAAGGGCGGGGGAAAGCGGCGGGAAACUGCCGGUAAUACCCCAUGGCGUUGUAGAAUGGCAUCAUUUUACAACUAAAGUACAAGCGCCCUUGGAUCGGUGUGCGCCCGAUUAGCUUGUUGGCGGGGUAACGGCCCACCAAGGCUUCGAUCGGUAGGGGGUGUGAGAGCAUGACCCCCCCACAUGGGUACGUGAGACACGGACCCGAACCU
rnacentral:rRNA from 1 species